GACGAACGCUGGCGGCGUGCCUAAUACAUGCAAGUAGAACGCACAGUUUAUACCGUAGCUUGCUACACCAUAGACUGUGAGUUGCGAACGGGUGAGUAACGCGUAGGUAACCUGCCUGGUAGCGGGGGAUAACUAUUGGAAACGAUAGCUAAUACCGCAUAAUAUUGAUUAUUGCAUGAUAAUUGAUUGAAAGAUGCUAUUGCAUCACUACCAGAUGGACCUGCGUUGUAUUAGCUAGUAGGUGAGGUAACGGCUCACCUAGGCGACGAUACAUAGCCGACCUGAGAGGGUGAUCGGCCACCCUGGGACUGAGACACGGCCCAGACUCCUACGGGAGGCAGCAGUAGGGAAUCUUCGGCAAUGGACGAAAGUCUGACCGAGCAACGCCGCGUGAGUGAAGAAGGGUUUCGGAUCGUAAAGCUCUGUUGUAAGAGAAGAACGGGUGUGAGAGUGGAAAGUUCACACUGUGACGGUAUCUUACCAGAAAGGGACGGCUAACUACGUG
rnacentral:rRNA from 1 species